rnacentral:tRNA from 1 species
GACUUAAUAGUUUAUAAAAAAUAAUGAUUUUGUAAUUCAUAGAAAAAUAAGUCU